AUGGAGAAUCUAAAGGAAGUAUUAGGUCGCGCCAAAAAAUAGAUAUAACAAAAUCAAAAUAUAGUUAUAUCUAUUUUUUGGCGCGACCCAAUACUUCCUUUAGAUUCUCCAU